rnacentral:lncRNA from 1 species
GGACCCGCCACUGAGGGCCGAGCUGGGCAAGGCUGUCGUCAGCUGCUAUCUUCAUCGGAUCACCAUCCUCGUAUGAUUCAUGGAUAUCCUACCAUAUUGGAUCAUUCGGAUCAAUAAUAUGAUGCAGCGAGUAUUGAUGAUGCCUAUAACCCUAUUCUCCAUGAUUCUUGGCUCUAUGAAUGGCUCAUCGCUCUUCAAGCAAAGGCAUAU